CCUAUAAAAUUCUGGUCUUUGCCCUUAAAGCUCCUUACAAAGAAGAAGGCUCUUACUGCUCAAAAGCUUUUUUUUGAUCAAUUAAAACAUUUUAUUACCUUAAAGUAAAGAAAUCCAUCGAGAUUAUGCAAGUAGUGGCGAACGAAAGCAACCCUGGGCCAAAGUACNCUUAAGAAAAGAACCCCUUCUAACCCUUAAAUAGGCAAGACACAGAUAGUGAACAGUACCGUGAGGGAAAAAUGAAAGAAUUUGAAAACAACAGUAGGUUAGUUUUCUGUUAUUAAAAACGUACCUUUUGCAUAAUGGGCCUNCCAGUGAUCAUUUGGCAAACUGAAAGUCAAGUCAAAUUCCCCGAAACCAAGUGAUCUAACCCUUUCCCAGAUUUUAAGUCUUUACCGGUGGCUGUGGCAACAUCCUCGGGAGAGGAAGGGUUAGCGGUGAAAUACCAAUCGAACUUGGCACUAGCUGGUUUUCCACGAAAGGCAUUUAAGUGCCGGAGGUUUAUUAUUUAGGCUUGUCUUCUUCGACAAACCCCCCUAAUUAUAGCCCUACUGAGCCCUUAGGCGAUAAGGUCUAAGGACCAAAGGGAAACACCCCUAAACUCUAGUAAAAGACAUAAAAUCCCCCUAACGUCCACAGAGACCCCCUAAUAAACUGGUUUUAAGUAGGCUUGGAAGCAGCCACCUUAGAAUGAAGGCGUAAUAGCCCCUAACCCGAUAGGUUUUCUCUAAAAUCCAGNUGGCUUUUAAUCUUAAGCUGAGUUUAAUGUAGUGGAACAUGNUGUUCUAAUCCACCACGCAAGUAAAACAGCAGCGCUAAUGCNGGCAUGAGUAACAAUCUCUUUCGGGGUUUUGNAAGCCAACCCCUAAGCUAACAGCAAUGGGAUCUAAAGGAAUUCACAGGAAGCCCCCUUUAGUUGAAUUGUACAGAACACCAUGAAAGUAAUCCCUGAUUUAUUUUUCUUAAGGAACUCGGCAAACAGGCUCUUUAGAGCCCUUGAACAUCGACUGUUUACCAAAAACAUAGCCCCUAGACCCCUAUUAGAGGUGACGCCUGCCCGAUGGUUUAUCCUAAGUUAAUUAACAUUAACGAACCUGAACUCAAUGGCCGCGGUAUUUCUGACCGUGAUAAUGUAGCGAAAUCAAUCGUCACUUAAUUGCUGACCUGUAUCAAAGGUAUUACGAAUGUUCCCCUGUCUCAAGAAAAAUCCCUGUGAAAUUGAAGGGGCCGUGCAUAUGCGGCCUAUUUUCCUGUAAGACGAAAAGACCCUAUUGAGCUUUACUAUAACCUUUCCUCAAAACACUAAGAAAAUGAGUAAACCUCUAAUCUUAGUACUAGGAAAGGCUGGUAGUUUCGUUGGGGCGACGACCUUUCAAAAAGUAACAAAGGUUAGCGAUGGUUUUCUAUUUAAUGAAUCUUAGCCUGACUGUUUGGCUUAUAAGCCUACCAGACACUUUCGUGAGCCAUAAUUUUCCAUUUUAGGGGCAACCCUAAAAUGCCAUAAUAUAAAAGUUACCAUAGGGAUAACAGCGUAAUUUUGUCGAAGAGCUCUUAUCGAUGACAAAGAUUGCGACCUCGAUGUUGAAUUGUGGUAUCCUGGGGGUGUAGCCGCUCCCAAGGGUUGGUCUGUUCGACCAUUAAAACCGUACAUGAUUUGAGUUCAUUCCGCCGUCAGGCAGGAAGGUUUCUAUCUACAGGCCCCUCUCUCAGGGCAAUCCCCCCUAGUACGAAAGGACCGGGUGGAUCUUCCCUCUGCUUACCUCAGGUAAGGAAGUUAACCUACCCUUGGCUGCCGCUAAAGGAGCAUUUAACCCCUGAGACCCUAUCCCU
rnacentral:rRNA from 1 species